rnacentral:rRNA from 1 species
UACGAAGGGGGCUAGCGUUGCUCGGAAUCACUGGGCGUAAAGCGCACGUAGGCGGAUCUUUAAGUCAGGGGUGAAAUCCUGGAGCUCAACUCCAGAACUGCCUUUGAUACUGGGGAUCUCGAGUCCGGAAGAGGUGAGUGGAACUCCGAGUGUAGAGGUGAAAUUCGUAGAUAUUCGGAAGAACGCCGGGUGGCGAAAGCGGCGGGCUGGAUCCCUUCUGACGCUGAGGCGCGAAAGCCAGGGGAGCAAACGGG